UACGUAGGGUGCGAGCGUUGUCCGGAAUUAUUGGGCGUAAAGGGCUCGUAGGCGGUUUGUCGCGUCGGGAGUGAAAUCCACUGGCUUAACUGGUGGCUUGCUUUCGAUACGGGCAGACUGGAGGUAUGCAGGGGGAGAACGGAAUUCCUGGUGUAGCGGUGAAAUGCGUAGAGAUCCGGAGGAACACCAAAGGCGAAGGCAGUGUCCUGGGGAGUACCUGACGCUCAGGUGCGAAAGCCAGGGGAGCGAACGGG
rnacentral:rRNA from 1 species